AGGGCUAUAGCUCAGUUGGUAGAGCACCUCGUUUACACCGAGAAAGUUUACGGUUUGAGUCCGUAUAGCCCUA
rnacentral:tRNA from 1 species